UACGGAGGGUGCAAGCGUUAUCCGGAUUUACUGGGCGUAAAGGGCGCGUAGGCGGCAAUUCAAGUCAUCUGUGAAAUCUCCGGGCUUAACUCGGAACGGUCAGAUGAUACUGCUUUGCUAGAGUGCGGAAGGGGCAAUCGGAAUUCUUGGUGUAGCGGUGAAAUGCGUAGAUAUCUGGAAGAACACCGGUGGCGCAAGCGGAUUGCUGGGCCAUAACUGACACUGAGGAACGAAAGCUAGGGGAGCGAAUGGG
rnacentral:rRNA from 1 species